rnacentral:lncRNA from 1 species
GCUCAGGUCCCUCCACCUCCAGGCCUGGCACUCUAUCCAUCAAGCUUCCUCGCUGCCCUGCCCCACCUCAGCAGAUUUUCUUCCAGUCAACGUCCGUGUCCUUUGGCCCAGCUCCUUCAGGCCCCACCAAGUCUAGCCAGGAUCCAGCUCUUUGCCCACCCCCAAAGCUGCCUCUUCCAAAGCCCUCGAUGCUUCCGAUAUCUAACCUGUGAUGUCCUUGUGUGCAGGAAGGACAAACUGCUGUACUCUCUGGCUGGCAUAGAAGAUCCUGACACCCCCAGGUAUCAGAACUUCAGGAAAGGUAAGUCAGCCCGGCCAGGAAGCCUUUCUCUGUCCUUCUUCAGACAGCAGAGAUGCUGGCGGACAACACAUGCCCUAGAAAUGGCUCCUUCUGCCUUUGGUGCCACGUGGUCCUAUGUGAAGGACCACAAGCAGGCGGUGCUAGAAACAUUUUACAAGCCUUGGGCAUCUCUCAGCCACAGCUAAUAAAUGAAUUAAAUUAGAAUUAUAGCACAAUGAAGAAAUAAGCAAGGAUUUAUUAAAUGCCUAUGUACCAGGAAAUGGGCUACGUGCUGGGGGUACAGAAAGAGGCAAAGGAGACUCCCUUCCCUCAAAGAGCUCACAAUCUAAUGGUUGGGGGAGGGGAGAGGCGGCACCUGGGUAGCUCAGUGGAUUGAGAGCCAGGCCCAGAGACGGGAGGUCCUGGGUUCAAAUAUGGCCUCAGACACUUCCCAGCUGUAUGACCCUGGGCAAGUCACUUAACCCCCAUUGCCCAGCCCUUACCACUCUUCUGCCUUGGCACCAGUGUUGAUUCUGCAACAGAAUGGGAGGGUUAAAAAAAACAAUCUAAUGGUAUGAAUUACUUAAUUAUCCAAUAAGCAGUGGGACCACAGAGAAGUCCUUAACUUCUUUGGGCCUCAGUUUCCUUAUCUGAAAAAUGUAAAAUUUCUAUUAUUGUGAGAGAAUCAUUCUUGUUUGUGGUUUGUGUUUUAUUUUUAAAUUAUCUAUAAAAGCCUUUUGUUUCUUUUGCCACACAUUCUGUGGCAUAUUUGUAAGAUAAAAAAAUGGGGGGAAAGGAGAGAAGUUGGAUUUGGUGAUCACCAAAUUCCUUUCUAACCCUAAACCUAUGAUCCAAUGACUAGAUUCCCCAGCCCAUAGGGAGCCACCAAGGUUUUUUGAGGGGAGUAGCCUGAUUAAGAAGAGGGUUUUCCCAAGUUAAAUGCAUCUAAAUAUGAUACAUAAAUAAAUUAUAUUUAUAUAUUAUAUAUAAUUAAUAA